AAUGAGUUCACCUGUUUUUGUCAGCCCGAGUUUGUUCCCUGCCCGUGCUUAGAGCCCUUGCAUAAAAUACAAUAAUAGCAUAUCUUUACGACCUCACCAGGUUUAGCAAAGUCUCGUGAGCUAUCGAAAUCAACUGUUAGCUCUAGAGUUCGAUUAAGGAUGUAAGUUCUACCGCUGGGCUCUCAUCCUUAGUGUCGCUUUGGGCUUGUCGUCAU